GGGAAAAAAAAGGAGAUGAUAUACUACAUAUAGAGUUAAGAAAAUGGGCUGACAUUUUUGUUGUUUGUCCACUUGAUGCUAAUACGUUGGCUUUUGUUGCGACAGGUGCUUGUCCUAAUUUGUUGACUUGCAUUUUCCGUUGUUGGGAUUUCAAUAAACCAUGUUUAGUUUUUCCUUGCAUGAACACAUAUAUGUACAACCACCCUAUCACAAAACUACAAAUUGAUACUAUCACUUCUUGGGGAAUCAAAGUCAUUAAACCAAUAGCAAAGAUAUUAGCUUGUGGUGAAUAUGGUAUUGGGGCACUUGAAAGUGUUGACGUUGUGAUUGAUGAAAUAAUAAAAU